AGAUGAGAUCUGCCGGGGCCUUGAGCCCCCUAAAGAGUCGUUCAAGACCAGGACGUUGAUAGGUCAGGUGUGGAAGCGCAGUAAUGCGUUAAGCUAACUGAUACUAAUUGCUCGUGCGGCUUGACCCUAUAACUUUG
rnacentral:rRNA from 1 species